AUGAUUUUUAUGUAUUAAUAUUGUACUUGCCGUUAGAGCUUCAACGGACAACCGAAGGCUCUUUACACGCCAGCAAUCAGGUGGUACAUGUUGGGAGCGUUCUACAUAGAUUCUGAUGCAGCUGCCAAUGAUGCGGCAAAUGAAGUUUUCAGUUAUAGUAACAGCAGUCCUUUAAGAUGGACCAACCAGAGCGUGUACUCUAUUGCGCAACGCCCGUAUCACCAAGCUGAUGAGCUUGGGUUGACAAUCUUUUACGACACUCAACAUUUCCGCCACGAGGAGUACUUCUGGAAUCAUAGUGCUAAGGAACUACGCAAACCCACUAAAAUUCCAGAGCGCGGUCUACUGAUUGAUCAAUCCACUGCUGCCUCAACUGUGCUGCACCGACGUAUGGAACCUGGUAUCACCAUUAGAACUGAGUUUGAGUUUCA